AACCUAUGGUCCACGCCGUAGGAUUGCCCAGCCUUCUGCAUGUGGAUCCGUGUACCAUUUGAAUUCAAAAAAGGAUCAAUUAAGGCCCAAACAGCCAGAGGCCUCGUUAGUCUCUUUGAUUCCAGCGAUUAGCUGGCACAGCCCUAGGCCUGCGGAGGCUAGUUUUUUUUCAUCGUAAUGAUGGAUGGCACACUUAUCUAAAAGCUUUAGCACUUGAGCCGAUGGAUGUUGGGCAGGACCAUGAAUAAAAAAAGCUAUCCUGUGCUCAUUCAUUUGUGGUACUGUUCAUCUUCCAGGCUGCUACAUAUAGCGGAUGAGGAGCCCAUUCUGCCAACAACUCCUUUGCUCGCAGCAUGAGAGCUCCAUCCGGCAUGGAUAGCGAAGAAGACACCUCUUUAGACCAUCAGCACAUGGCUGUUGAUCUCACUCCUGCCGGCAUGGAUACGCUCUCUAACAGAUCAAACAAAGGCAUCACCGAGCUAUCAGAUUGUUCUAAUCCUGGCUGUGGUGUUGUUGAUUCAAUCACAGCGAAUCCAGAGUUCUCAGAACUGCAUUCUGGAAGAUCGGCACCUAAGCGGAAAAGGUAGUACAUUUUGUUUUUUUACACUGGGAUUUUUUAACUAUUGUUAGAAGUAGUUUUUCUGUGGUGUACGAUGGUGAUAAUGGCAUAAUUUAUGAACUGUCAAGUGUCGUUUGUGUUGUUAAUUAGUCUUGUUCGAUAUUUACAGCGAGGUUUUCAAUAGUGUGAACCAUCAGCAAAACGUCAGGUUUUGUGUGUAAAUGACAGCUAGUUUUUUUUAUUAGUACUAUUUUAGACUAUAUUUGCCGCCGUUAAAAUUCAUCAAUGUUUGUGAGUACGACAGGAUGUUCUUCGGAAAACAUAUCAACACAGUCUUUUAAGCAACACAAUCCAAAAAAUCGUGCUUAAAAAAAUAUUUAGCAUAGUUUUGUAAGCACACUUUGCAAACAGGUCAUGUUUUAUUACUCCUCGGUUGUUUUGUUUCUCUACGUUUUUGCUGGGUCGUUACGUUAUUAUAACUUUGUUUUAAUACUCUAUAACGGUUUUGCCGAAAUAUGUAGUAAACGGGAAGCGUUUGAAGGAAUGGACCACAGAAUUGCCCCUGCAGUAAAAAGUCCGUUCCAGAAGUGUGUGGAGCGCGCUGCUUUUAGGGGUGAUGCAGAUGUGUUCGUUCCAAGUGUUGGAACAAUCUUUGAUUCAAAGGAUGAAGCCUACGAUUUCUACAACAUGUUCUCUUGGGAGUGUGGUUUUGGUAUUCGCUAUGGAAAGAGUAGCACUAAUGACAAAAAUUACAGAACAAUGCAGGACAUCGUUUGCCAGUGUGCGGUAUGCAUCAUUUUAAUCUUAAUUGUUUGUUUUUGUCUCGGUCGGAUUAUUGGUUCAUACUUUUUUUGUCUGCCUUUCACUCUGUGUCUUUACCAUUAUUACAGGGCAAAGAAGAAAGGC